GCAAACUUGGUCAUUUAGAGGAAGUAAAAGUCGUAACAAGGUCUCCGUUGGUGAACCAGCGGAGGGAUCAUUACAGAGUUGCAAAACUCGCCAAACCCCGUGUGAACAUACCGAAUUCGUUGCCUCGGCGGGCGGCCCCAGGGCGGGGCCACCCGAAAGGACCACGCCCGCCGACGGUAUUGAAAAUAAACGCUUGCCAUUUAUUCAGCCUCUGAAGGACCGCAAAAGAAACCAAAUCAAAACUUUCAACAACGGAUCUCUUGGCUCUGGCAUCGAUGAAGAACGCAGC
rnacentral:misc_RNA from 1 species